rnacentral:rRNA from 1 species
AGCUCCCUGAUGUUAGCGGCGGACGGGUGAGUAACACGUGGGUAACCUGCCUGUAAGACUGGGAUAACUCCGGGAAACCGGGGCUAAUACCGGAUGGUUGUUUGAACCGCAUGGUUCAGACAUAAAAGGUGGCUUCGGCUACCACUUACAGAUGGACCCGCGGCGCAUUAGCUAGUUGGUGAGGUAACGGCUCACCAAGGCRACGAUGCGUAGCCGACCUGAGAGGGUGAUCGGCCACACUGGGACUGAGACACGGCCCAGACUCCUACGGGAGGCAGCAGUAGGGAAUCUUCCGCAAUGGACGAAAGUCUGACGGAGCAACGCCGCGUGAGUGAUGAAGGUUUUCGGAUCGUAAAGCUCUGUUGUUAGGGAAGAACAAGUGCCGUUCAAAUAGGGCGGCACCUUGACGGUACCUAACCAGAAAGCCACGGCUAACUACGUGCCAGCAGCCGCGGUAAUACGUAGGUGGCAAGCGUUGUCCGGAAUUAUUGGGCGUAAAGGGCUCGCAGGCGGUUUCUUAAGUCUGAUGUGAAAGCCCCCGGCUCAACCGGGGAGGGUCAUUGGAAACUGGGGAACUUGAGUGCAGAAGAGGAGAGUGGAAUUCCACGUGUAGCGGUGAAAUGCGUAGAGAUGUGGAGGAACACCAGUGGCGAAGGCGACUCUCUGGUCUGUAACUGACGCUGAGGAGCGAAAGCGUGGGGAGCGAACAGGAUUAGAUACCCUGGUAGUCCACGCCGUAAACGAUGAGUGCUAAGUGUUAGGGGGUUUCCGCCCCUUAGUGCUGCAGCUAACGCAUUAAGCACUCCGCCUGGGGAGUACGGUCGCAAGACUGAAACUCAAAGGAAUUGACGGGGGCCCGCACNAAGCGGUGGAGCAUGUGGUUUAAUUUCGAAGCAACGCGAAGAACCUUACCAGGUCUUGACAUCCUCUGACAAUCCUAGAGAUAGGACGUCCCCUUCGGGGGCAGAGUGACAGGUGGUGCAUGGUUGUCGUCAGCUCGUGUCGUGAGAUGUUGGGUUAAGUCCCGCAACGAGCGCAACCCUUGAUCUUAGUUGCCAGCAUUCAGUUGGGCACUCUAAGGUGACUGCCGGUGACAAACCGGAGGAAGGUGGGGAUGACGUCAAAUCAUCAUGCCCCUUAUGACCUGGGCUACACACGUGCUACAAUGGRCAGAACAAAGGGCAGCGAAACCGCGAGGUUAAGCCAAUCCCACAAAUCUGUUCUCAGUUCGGAUCGCAGUCUGCAACUCGACUGCGUGAAGCUGGAAUCGCUAGUAAUCGCGGAUCAGCAUGCCGCGGUGAAUACGUUCCCGGGCCGU